rnacentral:rRNA from 1 species
UACGAAGGGGGCUAGCGUUGCUCGGAAUCACUGGGCGUAAAGGGUGCGUAGGCGGACUGUUAAGUCAGGGGUGAAAUCCUGGAGCUCAACUCCAGAACUGCCUUUGAUACUGGCAAUCUCGAGUUCGGGAGAGGUGAGUGGAACUGCGAGUGUAGAGGUGAAAUUCGUAGAUAUUCGCAAGAACACCAGUGGCGAAGGCGGCUCACUGGCCCGAUACUGACGCUGAGGUGCGAAAGCGUGGGGAGCAAACAGG